GGUGGAAAUGGCCGGGCUUCGCCGGGAUCUGGCUCGUGUCCAGAUAAGGGCGUGGCGCCUUGUUCGCACCGAGGUCCAGCCC
rnacentral:tRNA from 1 species